rnacentral:lncRNA from 1 species
CUUUCAUGCUCUUAUUGAUAUCCUGCGAAACUAGUUAAAUUACCAUUACAUUCAGUUGUCUCUUUACUUUUUUAUGUCUUUACAAAUGGUAACAUAUAUAAUCUAAGCUAAUCCAUGUCUUUUAUCAUAUAAUAUUUCGUUCAAGCUGAUUUCGUAUCUCCAAACUCCAAUGUCUUUAUCUAUUUUCAUUGUGCAGGAUACAUAUACCUCACCAUCCUGUGCACCUAAUGAAGGAUGAGAAUUCAACAUGUAUUGUACUUACAAAUUGGUAUAAGAUGCUUAAUGCAAUGAUAAUAUGUUCAAAUUCAGUCAUAAAAAAGAUAUUGAUUCUUUAUUCUUGGGGUAAAAAAGAAAAUACUUAAUCCUCGACCUUCUUUAUUCGAUAUUUGUGUCUUUUUUUAUCUUGCUUCUAUCGAUGUCUGAUUUUGGAGAGAUUUCCGUGCCACAGAAACCAUGUAAUUGGAUGUCAAAUGAUGAAUCUCUUUCUCUAUUUAUAGACUUAUGAGAGGGCAAAUGAGCCAUUCAUUUUACAUGGAAAGGGAUCAACCCCAAAUUUCAAUCGAUCGACUUGGGAUCCGGUCGAUUCUCCUGAGGUGGUCGUUGUACGAUGUUCAGAAUAUUUCGCAUGGUGGGAGACCUCGAGAUACAUGCAAAUACGUAAGAAAGAACUAGUUCGGCGUAUUAGUUGUAUAUUUAUAAUAUUUUUUCAAUCUCUCUUCAUUUAUAUAUCAUAUGGAAUGGUGACGUAGCAAUCUAGGGUUGUCCUCACCAGUAUUGAUUCCUCACUUUUUUGGUUUGGUCUUACAUAUUUCUACUGUUACUGGCUCGAAGCUCAAACUCGGCACGAGAUCAAGCUUGUGAACUUAUAGAGUCGUGGUUUUGUCUAAGAUCUAGGCUGGUCGUUAAGCUUAUUUGUAUCCCUAGGAAGUAGUGACAGACAAUUCCAAAAAUUUACCUUUCCAAUUCCAUGCAUAACUGGCCCAAGUCGGCUCGCAGCCUCGUGGAACUCCUCGGGUGUUUUUAUCUAGAAGGUUAUCGUUUAGUGGCUACAGUUGGGGACAGGACAGCAGAUUGAUUUUAAAAACAUGUGAGGUGUCCGGAGAGCUAGUCUCCCCUUAAGGAAUUCCAGCGAGGGG